GCAAUUAUACAGCGAAACUGCGAAUGAGCUCAUUAUAUAAGUUAUCGUUUAUUUGAUAGUGCCUUACUACUUGGAUAACCGUGGUAAUUCUAGAGCUAAUACAUGCUAAAAACCCCGACUUCGGAAGGGGUGUAUUUAUUAGAUACAAAACCAAUGCCCUUCGGGGCUCCUUGGUGAUUCAUGAUAACUAUACGAAUCGCACGGCCUUGCGCCGGCGAUGGUUCAUUCAAAUUUCUUCCCUAUCAACUUUCGAUGUUUGGGUAUUGGCCAAACAUGGUUGCAACGGGUAACGGAGGGUUAGGGCUCGACCCCGGAGAAGGAGCCUGAGAAACGGCUACUACAUCCAAGGAAGGCAGCAGGCGCGCAAAUUACCCAAUCCCGACUCGGGGAGGUAGUGACAAUAAAUACUGAUACAGGGCCCUUUCGGGCCUUGUAAUUGGAAUGAGUACAAUUUAAAUCCCUUAACGAGGAACAAUUGGAGGGCAAGUCUGGUGCCAGCAGCCGCGGUAAUUCCAGCUCCAAUAGCGUAUAUUAAAGUUGUUGUGGUUAAAAAGCUCGCUAGUUGAACCUUGGGCCUGGCUGGCCGGUCCGCCUCACCGCGUGCACUGGUCCGGCCGGGCCUUUCCCUCUGUGGAACCCCAUACCCUUCACUGGGCGUGGCGGGGAAACAGGACAUUUACUUUGAAAAAAUUAGAGUGCUCCAGGCAGGCCUAUGCUCGAAUACAUUAGCAUGGAAUAAUAAAAUAGGACGCGCGGUUCUAUUUUGUUGGUUUAUAGGACCGCCGUAAUGAUUAAUAGGGACAGUCGGGGGCAUCAGUAUUCAACUGUCAGAGGUGAAAUUCUUGGAUCAGUUGAAGACUAACUACUGCGAAAGCAUUUGCCAAGGAUGUUUUCAUUAAUCAGGAACGAAAGUUAGGGGAUCGAAGACGAUCAGAUACCGUCGUAGUCUUAACCAUAAACUAUGCCGACUAGGGAUCGGACGGUGUUAUUCAUGACCCGUUCGGCACCUUACGAGAAAUCAAAGUGCUUGGGCUCCAGGGGGAGUAUGGUCGCAAGGCUGAAACUUAAAGAAAUUGACGGAAGGGCACCACCAGGGGUGGAGCCUGCGGCUUAAUUUGACUCAACACGGGGAAACUCACCAGGUCCAGACACAAUAAGGAUUGACAGAUUGAGAGCUCUUUCUUGAUUUUGUGGGUGGUGGUGCAUGGCCGUUCUUAGUUGGUGGGGUGACUUGUCUGCUUAAUUGCGAUAACGAACGAGACCUUAACCUGCUAAAUAGCCCGCAUUGCUCCGGCAGUGCGCUGGCUUCUUAGAGGGACUUUCGGCUC
rnacentral:rRNA from 1 species